GCAGGUUGACCCAAAAACACCUGGGUGGACGCAAAGGUAUGGAAAUUAGUGAUGGAAACUAAGCUUUGUGUCUGCAUUGACUGACUUGCACUGUGUCUGUUCUUGUUAUGAAGUCUCUAAAAAUUUAUAUGUAGCGUGACUAGGAGACAUUCUGCUAAUCAAACUAUUGUCAGAUCAAUAAAAAUGUAUGUCCAAGCUUGGCCUUGGCUAAAGAUAAAUAAGUCUUCUCGAUAUGUAUAGCCUGGUGUAUGCGGUUUAUUAAGAUGUAAUAAGGGACUGAUUAGUUUGACAUAUUGUCUCGCAAAUGCAGGAUCCGGAUUGGGGCAGCUGCGCUAGGCAGAGCCCCAUGUGCUGAUAGGAUUUCAGCGCUGGAGAAAAUUGUUCAAAGGUGAGACUUAUUUUGAGACGGAGGGAGUAGUUUGGAAGAAUGAUUUGACAUAGUUGGUGAUAUGUGUUUAAAGGAGCAAAUGUAGCUGGUAGUACGCUUUUCUGUAUGUUGCUUGUGCCUGGGUGGUACUUGACACUUCAACCAUGCUGAAUUGUUAGUC
rnacentral:lncRNA from 1 species